rnacentral:rRNA from 1 species
UACAGAGGGUGCGAGCGUUAAUCGGAAUUACUGGGCGUAAAGCGCAUGUAGGUGGCGACGUAAGUCGGGUGUGAAAGCCCCGGGCUCAACCUGGGAAUUGCAUUCGAGACUGCAUUGCUGGAGUACGGAAGAGGAAGGCGGAAUUCCCGGUGUAGCGGUGAAAUGCGUAGAUAUCGGGAGGAACAUCAGUGGCGAAGGCGGCCUUCUGGUCCAGUACUGACACUCAAGUGCGAAAGCGUGGGGAGCAAACAGG